rnacentral:rRNA from 1 species
GGCGGACGGGUGAGUAACGCGUAAAGAACUUGCCCUUUAGACUGGGAUAACAGAGGGAAACUUCUGAUAAUACUGGAUAAGUUAGUAUAUCGCAUGAUAUGCAAAUGAAAGCUACGGCACUAAAGGAGAGCUUUGCGUCCUAUUAGCUAGUUGGUAAGGUAAGAGCUUACCAAGGCGAUGAUAGGUAGCCGGCCUGAGAGGGUGGACGGCCACAAGGGGACUGAGAUACGGCCCUUACUCCUACGGGAGGCAGCAGAC